UACUAUCACGGAAUAGUAUAUUUUAUAUAUAUAUACACACCCCACACACAUACACAUGCAUACAUGAGAGAGAGAGAGAGAGUUGAUCAGUUGUUUGUUGUUUAGCAUCAAAUUUACGCCGAUCAAGACUUAUGACCAAAAGUAUUCAAGUUGUGAUCAUCUACUCCUUCUUUUCUCAGCAAUAGCAUAUCAAAAACUACAUUAUACAUAGUUUGAUUUUUAAGACUGUAAGGUGUAUAGUUUGAAGAUUUGGCCGUUACUACUAGAAGCAUAUAUGACCUCGUAGUAAGUUCUACUUUGGUUUGUGAGGAACCAGUUGUCAUUGAAAGAGACUACUGAAUACGGGGAGAGUGAGGCGGAAAUGAGAACCAUCUUUGUCUGAAUAAAUGAUUAUGUAGUCAGGACUUUUAUUAAAGGCAUUCCGUCCAUAUUCAAGCUGCCUUUUGUCUGUCUAGGUAAUGUUUUGUCGAAGAUUUAGGAAAUAAGUCAUCUCGUCUUUUCUUUGGGAAUUAUAUGUUACCAGGCUUCGAUUAUAAAAGCAGUAUUUGAGUCAGUCCCAAAGAUAGCGAUAUUGCUCGAUGGGGUGUUAAAUAUACAAGACGUUGUUGAACUUACUUCGUUGUCUGCCAUGUGUCGGAAUUGCUUAGUAAAAUAAAAAAUAGGGAAAUAUUUUUUGCAUUCAGAGGUCUGUAUUGUACUCCUUCUCUAUUGAGUACGCUUAAUACGCUUCCUCAGUCAACAAAUGAUGAGGAAUCUUUCGCUAUUCUGUCUUGUUUUCUUAAUAGAAAUUUAUGUAUGCCGUGAUUCAAACUUAAUUUUGAAUUCAUUACCGAGCACUUGCAAUGGAAAAUGCUUCAUUUAGAUAAGUUAAGACAACUAUUGAGAAGCACACGUUUCUCACUUCUACACACAUAUAUAUAGACACAUGCGCAUGCAUACAGAAGCACAGUUAGUGUAAUUUUGAUCGCAACAGUUAUACUUCUGUUUCACUUUUCAGAUGUUCACCAUGACAAUAGUUGGUGGAAGAGCUGGACAUAUUUUAUCGUAUUACGGUGAGUAGGAAGGAGGAGGAGGAAGAUAAAUGGUAUAGAAAUGGCAUUCACUGGAAUAGAGAAGGCCUUUUGUGUGUUGGAGUAUGCUCAAAUACAGUCGAACAAGACUGUGCAGUGUGCAUUUGUGAGAAAGUUCUCUAAAAAGUCAUCAACGCCAAUGCAGAUUUGGACAUUGCACAAAAAUUUCAGAGAGGAAGGCUAUCUGUGCAGGGCAAAAGGAUUUGGACAACCACUAACAUCGGAAGAGACGGUCGAGCGGGUUCGCCAAAACCUCUUGCGAAGCCCUAAGAAGUCCAUAAGAUCAAGUCUGGAAACACAGAUUCCUCCACCGACAGUUUGGUGCAUCCUGAGGAAACGCUUGCUAAUGAAACCUUACAAGUUGCAGCUUGUUCAGGCCAUAACAGCAGAUGACAAGCGAAUGCACAAACAUGGGGCUAUGUGAAGGGUCUGGUCCCCACCUCUUCCUGCAAACCUAGAGGAACUCGAGCAGAAUAUCACUACCGCACUGGAGACUGUUACACAAGACAUGCUGCAGCGUGUUUGGGAGGAGCUACACUACCGACUUGAUGUGUGCUGUGUCUCAGGUAGUGCGCAUAUUGAACAUUUGUGAAAUCGUUCAUGGAAUCCACAUACCUUUGAAUUUCUCAUUCAAAUUUGGAGGGAUAAAUCUUAUGUUGCUCAACAUUAAGCCUGUUUAGUUUCAUUUGCUUUGAUUAUGUUAUUUCUAUGAUAUUUACAUUUCAAAUGAUAUCAAAUGAAACAUCCUGUGUGUGUAUAUAUAUAUAUAUAUAUAUAUAUAUAUAUAUUAUAUAUAUAUAUAUAUAUACGAGUAAGCACAUAAAUACAAAACAAAAUGGAAAAACUAGUACUCGAAGACCGAAGGUAGAGUAAUGUGAUUUACUAUUAAAGCUGCAAAAGCAUCACAAAAACUGCUACUCAGAGUUUCUCGUUUGUCGGGUUAUUCUUGAUCACAACUGCCAGAUGAACGGGAACGUGAAACUCUGAGUAGCAGACUGAAACAAGUAAAAUAAUGAAAGAAGAUAUAUAUAUAUAUAUAUAUAUUAUAAAAUGGAAUAUGUACUUUAAAAGAAUGUGUAAAACAAGUUAAGCGAAUCCUAAUUUAAAGUAAACUAUUUUAUAUUUUUUAGCUAUAUCUUAUAUUUUAUAUUUUUUCAUAUUCAAUAUCUUAUUUUCAUAUUUUAAAUGUAUAUUCUUAUCUAUAUAUCUAUAUUAUUCUUAUUUCUGCAUCAUUAUAUGUUAUUUUAGCAAUUUCAAAUAUGAUUCUGAUAACGUGGGUGUGUGCAGAAUAAUUUACACGAAUAAGUUCUAUCAUUCGUGUUUUGUUAAAUGCAUAUUCGUUUUUAGUUUUGAGAUAUGAAUGAAAGAAUAUAUUGAAACAAAAACAUGUAUUUAAUGUACAUAAUGGUGUAAUUGUGAAACUGUUAUUAGAAUAAGAAAUGAGUAAAACUGUUUCUAAUAUUGAGUAAUAUUAGAACAAACAUUUCAGUUUGUUCUUUUAUAACUUUGUUUUUACAUUAUAUAUAUUUUGUCUUUCAAUUAUUUCAGGUAUUAGACUGCGGCCAUUCUGGAACACCACUUGACGGGAUUUUUUCGAUUAAUCCCUUCAAACACAAAGACACAAACACAUACA
rnacentral:misc_RNA from 1 species